rnacentral:lncRNA from 1 species
UCAGCCAAGCAUUGGAUAACAAGCACGUUGUUUCUUCAAGGUCUCAAUCUUCUCUUCACAGCUUGCUAUUCAAUGGGGAGGGCUUCCCUGUUUUUUUUUCUACAGUCAUUGUAUUUAUUUAUUUGUUUUCUUGUAGUAUAUUUCAUGGAAGCAGCUUUAUUGGGUUAAUUUCGUCCAUCUCUGCAGGGAAAUCCGUAAUGGAAAGAUCACAGCGAGCGAGUGGGUCGGAGGCACGGCCAUGGACCGAAGAAGAAGACCAGAAGCUCAUUAAAAGUAUAAACGAAUGUAAGACCGAAAAUCGCUCUCUAUCUUGGCUAGAAAUCGCAUGGGAGACAGCGCUGGCGAGGAGUAGUUCGAGUUGUAGGAAGAGAUGGGAAUAUUUGGAGAAUAAGCAUUGAGUUUGCUGCAUGGUCAUGAACGCAUCUUAUGAUAAACCUAGGCUUCGUAUUAUGUUGAAGGGUUAGACCCAUUAAUUUCUGCAUAAUGUAAUGGUUGGCUUAUUGUACUCACCGAUGAAAUUAUUCAUCUUAUAAUAAACGUGUGUUUUCUAUUAUGUUGAAGGGUUAGACCCAUGAUUUGUGACCAUCCAUUUGAAGGAAAUAUAAU